CGAGUAGGAGAGGAAAUUCCGCACAGCCCUCCUCUCCCAAGGCUGAACUCCGCGCCCCUUCCACCCCCAAGCUCUCUGGUUACUUCAGGCCCCCGACCGUGGCGGCCCUGUGAACCCGGCGGCGGAGCGCACACGAUGCUGCCCCUCCCGGUGUUUCUCCAUCCCAAAGGGCGCCUCCCGCCGCACCCACUUCCUCUUUCCUCUCACUUGAGCCGACGCAGACAGCAAUCGCUCUCAAAAAAUUAUUUCUGACAGGAAGCCCGGAGGCCCGCGAGGAGGGCGACCAGCCCCUCGUCUCCAACGUGCUCCGGGGUCCCAGCCGCUGGCGCGCCCCUUGGCGCCCGGCCUCCGCCCGCCGAUCCCCGCCGCCUCCGCGGCACCCCGGGCUCGCGCUGCGCCGGAGGGGCGGGGGCUGCGCCGGCUCCCCAGCCCCGACCAUGGAGGUGGAGGAGGCGUUCCAGGCGGUGGGGGAGAUGGGCAUCUACCAGAUGUACUUGUGCUUCCUGCUGGCGGUGCUGCUGCAGCUGUACGUGGCCACCGAGGCCAUCCUCAUUGCUCUGGUUGGAGCCACACCUUCGUACCACUGGGACCUUGCUGAGCUCCUGCCCAACCAGAGCCACGGCAACCAGUCAGCUGGCAAGGACCAGGCCUUCGGGGACUGGCUUCUGACCGCAAACGGCAGCGAGAUCCACAAGCACGUGCAUUUUAGCAGCAGCUUCACCUCCAUCGCCUCUGAGUGGUUUUUAAUUGCCAACAGAUCUUACAAAGUCAGUGUGGCAAGUUCCUUUUUCUUCAGUGGGGUGUUUGUUGGUGUAAUCUCUUUUGGUCAGCUUUCGGAUCGCUUUGGAAGGAAAAAAGUCUAUCUCACAGGUUUUGCUCUUGACAUCUUAUUUGCUAUCGCAAAUGGAUUUUCCCCUUCAUAUGAGUUCUUUGCAAUAACUCGAUUCUUGGUGGGCAUGAUGAAUGGAGGGAUGUCGCUGGUGGCCUUUGUCUUGCUAAAUGAAUGUGUGGGCACCGCCUACUGGGCACUCGCAGGCUCCAUUGGCGGCCUCUUCUUUGCAGUUGGCAUUGCCCAAUAUGCCCUGUUAGGAUACUUCAUCCGCUCCUGGAGGACCCUAGCCAUCCUGGUUAACCUGCAAGGAUCAAUAGUCUUUCUCUUAUCUUUAUUCAUUCCUGAAUCACCUCGUUGGUUGUACUCCCAGGGUCGACUGAGUGAGGCCGAGGAGGCACUCUACCUCAUUGCCAAGAGGAACCGCAAGCUCAAGUGCACGUUCUCACUAACACAUCCAGCCAACAGGAGCUACAAGGAGACUGGAAGUUUCCUGGAUCUGUUUCGUUACCGAAUUCUCUUAGGACACACUCUGAUCCUGAUGUUCAUCUGGUUCGUGUGCAGCUUGGUGUAUUAUGGCCUCACUCUGAGUGCAGGUGAUCUGGGUGGAAGUAUUUAUGCCAAUCUGGCCCUGUCUGGCCUCAUAGAGAUUCCAUCCUACCCUCUGUGCAUCUACUUGAUUAACCAAAAAUGGUUUGGUCGGAAGCGGACAUUAGCAGCAUUUUUGUGCCUAGGAGGACUGGCUUGUCUUAUUGUAAUGUUUCUUCCAGAAAAGAAAGAUACAGGUGUGUUUGCUGUGGUGAAUAGCCACUCCUUGUCCCUGCUGGGGAAGCUGACCAUCAGUGCUGCCUUUAACAUUGUUUAUAUCUAUACCUCCGAGCUCUACCCUACCAUCAUCAGGAAUGUUGGGCUUGGAACGUGUUCUAUGUUCUCCCGAGUUGGUGGGAUUAUUGCUCCCUUCGUCCCCUCACUGGUUGAAAUAUGUGCAGUGGUCUCUGCCCUUCAUUGUAUUUGGAGCCACUGGCCUGGCCUCAGGCCUCCUGAGUUUGUUACUGCCAGAAACUCUGAACAGCCCAUUGCUGGAGACAUUUUCUGACCUUCAGGUGUACUCCUAUCGAAGGCUGGGGGAGGAAGCAUUGUCAUUACAGACCUUGGAUCCUCCACAGCUGGCAGACAAGGAGAGCCCUUUAGGGAGUGAGAGUGAGGAAGAGGAAGAGUUUUACGACGCAGAUGAAGAGACUCAUAUGAUAAAGUGAGAAAGAGUCCGGACCCCUGCUCAGAAGUAAAGGUUCGUCUUGUAUGCCUCUGGCCAAGGCAGGUUCUCCCAUGGGCCCUAGGAGAGCUGCGCAAAGACAGGCUUGACUUGAACAUGCACAACUGGUACUCAGCAUGAACUGAUUCUUUUCAGGUACAACGGAAGUUGGAGAAGAAAUUUCAUAAGAGAAUACCUCACUGCACUGAGGGACUAGUUCUUAAUCUGUCCUAAAUUCAAGUUUAGUUCAGAAUCCUCACCUCUGACCACACAGCUCAAGUCCACCUUCCAGGGUAUGAGGCUGAUAUAUGUGGGAGUUUGUUCAUGCUGCUUUUCCUUUGGCAUGAUCUGGAAGCAGAUAUGUAAAAUUCCUCACCAUUUGGAUAGGAUUUGAUAAAUUGUCUUUAAACUAGUCUUCGUAUGAUCUUGACAUCUGCCCCUAUCACUUGUUCCUCCUCCCUAAGAAUCUUCUGGUGCAGGUUGUUACUUUAAUUUUGUGUCUAAGGAAAAGGUCUCAGAGACCAUAUGUGUGUCCCAGGACCCCCAGCUUUAUCUAAACUGAUGAAAUUUGAGUCUUCAGGUUGGUUCACUCAGCCUGAUGGCUGACUUGGCUUUUUGUGCCUUGAAUCCCUAAGAUGAUUCGCUAGUAAAAGCCCACAGCACCAGAGCAAUUUACUAGAGUCAGAGGUGUGGCUGUGGCCUGGUAAUGACCUUUGUUACUUCAGCGAUCUGAUUUCCCACUUACAAGCACCUCCAGAAAAGUUUCCUUCUGGGAUUCUAGUACCAGCAAUAACUUCAAAAUCAUGUAAACAAAACUUUAUAGAGGGCAGUUAAAAAGGGCUUGUUGAGGAUUUUCCUUAAAAAGAAAGAUGCAGCUUUUAAUAAAGGAGCAAGGAAAAUUAUCUUUCACAAUUUCUAUUUGUUUUGCUUUCAGUGUUAUGCAAUGAGGAACUUGGGCAACAUUUAUAAACUUGAACUCUCGGCCCUUACCUGUUAAUCGGAACAGAAGGCACAGUAAUUUCAUAGGAAAUGUUGGUUUUCAUAAAGUGCUUCCCAUUUUCAAAUGAAUUAAAAUCAUACUUGUCCUCUGAAGUCACAUACUGGAAAUAACUGUUCCCCAUGAAACUUGAGUACCAUCUCUAAUAAGAGUAUAAACCAGGAGUCAACAGCUUGGACCGCAUUUUUCAUGGUACUUACAGUACUUUUCCAACCAGGAAAGUUUCUGUGUUUUCAGAAAUUUCAUUUCUACUAAUCUCUUGGAGAAAGAGAAAUUGUGUGAGAGGUAAAGAGAAGGUGUCACUCUGGGUGCUUCUUGAUAAAGAAUGUAUCCCUCCCAGUUGGCUCCUGAUACACUUUUGUUCUCUUCCACAUUGACUUCUUGGUUUGUGCUCUACCUAUCUGUAACUUUGGAUUUGUAAAAGUGUAUUUAUGUUCUCUAUGUCCUUGAUUAUGUAUAUAGGAUCUUCAUAGACAGGUAUCGUCUCUAUUAUUUCUCCCUGACGUGCUUAGAACAUUGGCCUAGACACAGUAAGGGCACACCAAAUCCUACUGUUUUUGGCCAUCAGGGAGAUUGUGGGAUGACUCCUUGUAUCACAUUUGCAAAUCCGACUCACACCACCAAGUUGUGAAAUCUUGCUUCUCUUUCUCUGGAAAAUGGAGAUCUGCCCAACCAUCAGGGGAGGAAGACACACUUAGAAGUUCUUAUUAAAUGGUUAAGUAUUUAAAAUAAAGCAACAAAUCAACACACACACACAUACACAUGCAUAUAUAUACACACACAUAUAUACACAUAUAUACGUAUAUGUGUGUAUGUGUGUGUGUGUUUAUACAUAUGUAUAUGUUUUUGUUUCCUGGAGCUAUCUUUAUAUAAGAGCAGUGUAUCCUUUUAUAGAAAAUUUGGAAACUAUACAUUAGAAAAUGUACCCGUUGGCCCAGCACCUGGAGACAACCAAUGUAUGGUUUUACUCCUGUGAAGAUUAACUGGGAGUCCAACUCUUUUAAAAAAGAGCUAAAGCACUGAGUCUCUUGCUGCUUCUAGCUAAAUAAAUGAGAGUUCAAUUAAUUCCAUCCCUGGGUUUCCUCCUUCCAGGUGGAGGUAGAAGUAAGGACGGAGGGAUCUCUAGUUUGAAUACAUAUUGUUUAAAAGACUGGAUUGGCUGUCAACUACUCAUGUCAGAUGUAUUACUAAAUUCUGUUUCUGGAUAAUCCUUUAGCAAAGUUUAAUCAUUACUAUUUUUUAUUUCUACUGACUUUACAAAAAUAGAUUUUUUUCCAUUUAGUAAUGGUGAAGAACAUUGUUCUUAAAGAAUGUGCACAUGAGUUCAUGUACAUCAGUUAAAUUAUUGAAAAAUUUGUGGUAACAUGUCAUUUACACAGAUGAUUUGUUAAAAAGAGUAUCAUUUUAUUUUUUUAAAUUUUAUUCAAAAUUAAAUUUCUCUAAUCCUAAAAAGUAGCAGGAAAAAUGUAAGACAUAAUAAGAAAUCUUAAGGUGUUUAGAGUCCAAGGUCUAACUGAUUAAUGUUGUCAUUUCCUGAUUUUUUGAGUUAAAACCAUGACUCAUUGAAAAGCCAAUGCUUAUCUUUUGGCUGCUUUCAAGCAGUGUAGACUUUCUUUUUAACUUUUAUAAAUGAGCAAUAAGCAAAAUAUAACAAGAAGAAAACAGGAGUUUCUGGGGCACUACUUACAUUACUAUAACAUGAAUAGACAUUUUAUGGUUGCCAUUGAUGGAGCUACUUUUAGUAGAUGAUUUAUAUUCUUAACAAAUGAAUACUGAAAUAAUUGUCAUUAUUAUAUCAGAAUUAAAGUAUAGGUUUUCAGUAGGACUUACUUUUUCAUAUAGAUUUUUAAUCACUGAUCCUUACAUUGAAAAAAUAUCGAGGAAGCUUUAGAUUUUUUUCACUAAGUAAAAUGCAGGUAUUUGGGCUUCUUGUGAAUUUAAUCAAGGAUCUUGAAAUAGGCCUUUUCUUUUGUUCUUACAGGAUGUGUCAAGAUGCUCAGUAGCAUACUUGACAAAUACAGAAUUUGCUAGAAAUCAUGAGCAAUGUUUGGGGACAGGGAUUAUAGCAAAGCUGGGGAGUCAUAGUACAAAAGAUAACUAUAAAAACAUUUUUAGAAAGAGAAGAAUGCAAAGAUGAUGGGUUGUGGAAAAUCCAUCAAUAUAGCACAUCAGAGGAGAAAGGCCUAUUAUCAUAUUAAUAGAUAUGCAAAGAUUGCUGACAAAAUUCAUCACUCAUUCAAAAUAAGAACUAUCAUCAGACUAGGAAUACAGGAAGCUCCCCUAGCAAAAUAAGGGACAUAUGGUAGUAACUAUGGUGAAUUGUCACACAGCAUCUGUUCGCCCUCCUGCUACUUUGGCCUUCAAAUUUUCUUGAUCCUGACCCACAGUAAGUAAUGCUUUUUUACAUAUUCAUUUUCUGUUUCCUCCCCCUUACCAAUAUAUACAUAUAUGUAAAAUAUUCAUAAAACACUUGUGUGUACAUGAUGUAUAUAGCUUUCAUAAAACAAUGCUUCUUAUUGUGAGACACACUGAUAAUUUAUAAUUUGUUCUGUUUUGUUUUGUUUUUAAAAUGCCAUUUGUGAUCUACCCACAAAUUGCAGUUUCAACUGCAAUCAAUUAGACUGCAACCUGUAGUUUGAAAUCCACUCUUCUAUCCUGUGUUCUUGUAUUAUAGAAACUUUAAGGCUAAAAUGUACAUUUUCUGAACUCCCUUGCAGUGCAGCUUCUCAGUACAAUUUAGUUUCAGUUAGAUACAAUAAAAUUUGGAAUGUGAGAGCAACAGGGAGGUCUCUUCUGCUGGGAUUCACAGUGAUGAAGCCAUUUGGUUUCUCUGAGGCAGGAUAGUAGAGAUGUUGACAGGAGAAAUAUUAAUUAAAAAUUUAACAAGAUUUUUUCCCCACAGAACUUGGAAUAAUAAUUCUAGUAUUCACAUGGGAAAGCAAAGAUCCCAAAUAGUUAAGACAACCUGAAAGAGAAAAGUAAACAGAAGAAACUAAAUAUCUCAUAUAUCAAACUCACCAAAGCUAUAGUUUUGGUCUGCAAUAGACAAACAGAUCAAUGGAACAUAGAGAGAUUCUAGAAAAAGACAAGCACAUGUAACAAUUUGGCAAUUUUUAAAGAUAGCAUGACACAUUAGAGAGGAAAGAGCAAACUAUCUGAUUAUUGAUAGGGGAACAACUGGGUUUCCAUAUCAAAGAAAACAGAAUUAGGUCCUUCUAACAACAACAACAAACAUUCCAAAUAGAUUGAAGACCUAAGUGAAAAAAAAAUCAAAACUUUAAAAUUAUUAGAAAGUGAUGUAAGGAGAAAGUUGUAGGACCUCAGAGGGAUAGAUGAAUUUCUCAGAUAAGAAGUGAAGAAUCACAAAGCAUUAAGAAAUGAUAUAUUUGACUCUCUCUAAAUUUAAAACCUCUUUGUGCAUCAACAAAAAUACCACAAAGUUAAAGAAAAUAAAUACAUUAGGAGAAAAUUUUUGUGAAUUCUAUAACAGACAAUGAUUAAUAUAUAGAAUACAUAAGAAUUACUCAAAUCAGAAAGAAAAGUGAUAGGAAAGUUUACAGGAAAUAUGAUUAGACAAUUCAAGAUAAGAAAAUGUUCAACCUUACUGGAAGAUCAGGGAAAUGCAAAUUGAAACAACAUUAAGACAUCAUUUAAAAUCCAUUAGAUUGGGUGAAAAAAUGAGACUAUCAAAUGCUGAAACCAUGAGGUAAAAAGAAUUUACUGACAUCCUGAGAGAAGCAUAAAUUGAUUCAUCAACUUGAUUGUCAUUAGGAAAUCAAGUUGAAAAUGUGUAUAUUCUACAAUUCAGAAUUUCUGUUCCUAUGUAUAUAUAAUGGAACAAUGCUUUUAGAACUUUUUUUUGGUAACUUCUUGUAAGAAAAAUGUUUUGCACAGUGACACAAUCCCCACACCUAUAUUCAGAUCCAUAUGUUUUAUCUAUAUAUACAUAUAUAUGUAUUACUGAAAUCGUUUUGUAAAACAAUAAACUACCUGUAGUAUCUACACUGUUAUAUUUUCUAUUUCAUUCACUUAAAAAUAAAAGAGUACUGAUGAUGA